rnacentral:rRNA from 1 species
GUGGGGAAUAUUGGGCAAUGGGCGCAAGCCUGACCCAGCCAUGCCGCGUGAGUGAUGAAGGCCUUCGGGUCGUAAAGCUCUGUGGGGAGGGAAGAAAAACCUUGUGGCCAACAUCCACGAGGCUUGACGGUACCUCCUUAGCAAGCACCGGCUAACUCCGUGCCAGCAGCCGCGGUAAUACGGAGGGUGCAAACGUUGCUCGGAAUCAUUGGGCGUAAAGCGCACGUAGGUGGCCUGUUAAGUCGGGUGUGAAAUCCCUGGGCUCAACCCAGGAAGUGCACUCGAAACUGGCAGGCUUGAGUACUGAAGAGGGUCGCGGAAUUCCCGGUGUAGAGGUGAAAUUCGUAGAUAUCGGGAGGAACACCAGUGGCGAAGGCGGCGACCUGGGCAGAUACUGACACUGAGGUGCGAAAGCGUGGGGAGCAAACAGGAUUAGAAACCCUGGUAGUCC